rnacentral:rRNA from 1 species
GACGAACGCUGGCGGCGUGCUUAACACAUGCAAGUCGAACGAUGAAACCUAGCUUGCUAGGUCGAUUAGUGGCGAACGGGUGAGUAACACGUGACUAACCUGCCCCUUUCUCUGGGAUAACGCUCCGAAAGGAGUGCUAAUACCGGAUACUCACAUCGAGGCACAUGCCUUGAUGUGGAAAGUUUUUCGGAAAGGGAUGGAGUCGCGGCCUAUCAGCUUGUUGGUGAGGUAACGGCUCACCAAGGCGACGACGGGUAGGCGGCCUGGGAGGGCGACCGGCCACACUGGGACUGAGACAUGGCCCAGACUCCUACGGGAGGCAGCAGUGGGGAAUAUUGCACAAUGGGCGCAAGCCUGAUGCAGCGACGCCGCGUGAGGGAUGAAGGUCUUCGGAUUGUAAACCUCUUUCAGUAGGGACGAAGCGAAAGUGACGGUACCUAAAGAAGAAGCACCGGCUAACUACGUGCCAGCCGCCGCCGUAA